GUAGGGAAUAUUGCGCAAUGGACGAAAGUCUGACGCAGCGACGCCGCGUGAGUGAUGAAGGCCUUUGGGUCGUAAAGCUCUGUUGAAUGGGAAGAAAAAAAUGACGGUACCAUUCGAGGAAGGACCGGCUAACUUCGUGCCAGCAGCCGCGGUAAUACGAGGGGUCCUAGCGUUGUUCGGAAUCAUUGGGCGUAAAGGGUGUGUAGGUGGCCAUGUAAGUCAGGUGUGAAAGCACCGGGCUCAACCCGGGAAGUGCACUUGAUACUGCGUGGCUUGAGUACCGAAGAGGGUAGUGGAAUUCCAGGGGUAGUGGUGAAAUACGUAGAUAUCUGGAGGAACACCGGUGGCGAAGGCGGCUACCUGGUCGAGUACUGACACUGAGACACGAAAGCAUGGGGAUCAAACAGGAUUAGAUACCCCAGUAGUCC
rnacentral:rRNA from 1 species